rnacentral:rRNA from 1 species
AGCGAACGCUGGCGGCAGGCCUAACACAUGCAAGUCGAACGCCCAGCAAUGGGAGUGGCAGACGGGAUAGUAACACGUGGGAACGCGCCCUUCGGUUCGGAAUAACUCAGGGAAACUUGAGCUAAUACCGGAUACGCCCUUACGGGAAAGAUUAUUGCCGAGGAACGGCCCGCGUCGGAUUAGCUAGUUGGUGAGGUAAUGGCUCACCAAGGCGACGAUCCGUAGCUGGUCUGAGAGGAUGACCAGCAUCACUGGACGUGAGACACGGCCCAGACUCCUACGGGAGGCAGCAGUGGGGAAUAUUGGACAAUGGGCGCAAGCCUGAUCCAGCCAUGCCGCGUGGAUGAUGAAGGCCCUA